UACGGAGGGUGCAAGCGUUAUCCGGAUUCACUGGGUUUAAAGGGUGCGUAGGUGGCUUUGUAAGUCAGUGGUGAAAGCCCGGAGCUCAACUCCGGAACUGCCAUUGAAACUGUGGAACUUGAGGAUGAGAGAGGUGAGUGGAAUUCCCAGUGUAGAGGUGAAAUUCGUAGAUAUUGGGAAGAACACCGGUGGCGAAGGCGGCUCACUGGCUCAUUUCUGACGCUCAGGCGCGACAGCGUGGGGAUCAAACAGG
rnacentral:rRNA from 1 species